rnacentral:rRNA from 14 species
UUAAAUUGAAGAGUUUGAUCAUGGCUCAGAUUGAACGCUGGCGGCAGGCCUAACACAUGCAAGUCGAACGGUAGCACAGAG